rnacentral:rRNA from 1 species
AGUGAACGCUGGCGGCAGGCCUAACACAUGCAAGUCGAACGGCAGCACAGUAAGAGUUUGCCCUUACGGGUGGCGAGUGGCGGAUGGGUGAGGCAUACAUCGGAAUCUACUUUUUCGUGGGGGACAACGUAGGGCAACUUACGCUAAUACCGCAUACGACCUACGGGUGAAUUCAGGGGUGUUAGGCGCUUUUGCGGUCGAAUGUAGCUGGAUCCGCGUCGCAUUAGCUAGUUGGUAAGGUAACGGCAUACCAAGGCGACGAUGCGUAGCUGGUCUGAGAGGGUGAUCAGCCACACUGGAACUGAGACACGGUCCAGACUCCUACGGGAGGCAGCAGUGGGGAAUAUUGGACAAUGGGCGCAAGCCUGAUCCAGCAAUACCGCGUGGGUGAAGAAGGCCUUCGGAUUGUAAAGCCCUUUUGUUGGGAAAGAAAAGCAGCGGGUUAAUACCCCGCUGUUCUGACGGUACCCAAUGAGUAAGCACCGGCUAACUUCGUG